UACGUAGGGGCCAAGCGUUGUCCGGAUUUAUUGGGCGUAAAGAGCUCGUAGGCGGUUGGGUAAGUCGGGUGUGAAAACUCCAGGCUCAACUUGGAGAUGCCACCCGAUACUGCUCUGACUUGAGUUCGGUAGGGGAGUGGGGAAUUCCUGGUGUAGCGGUGAAAUGCGCAGAUAUCAGGAGGAACACCGGUGGCGAAGGCGCCACUCUGGGCCGUAACUGACGCUGAGGAGCGAAAGCAUGGGGAGCGAACGGG
rnacentral:rRNA from 1 species